GCCUGUUUAUCAAAAACAUGUCUUUUUGAAAAUAAUUUAAAGUCUAAUCUGCCCACUGAUAUAAAUUGAAGGGCUGCAGUAUUUUGACUGUACAAAGGUAGCAUAAUCAUUAGUCUCUUAAUUGGUGACUUGUAUGAAGGAUUGGAUGAGAUAUAAACUGUCUUAAUUUUAUUUAAUUGAAUUUAAUUUUUUAAUUAAAAAGUUAAAAUAUAUUAAAAAGACGAGAAGACCCUAUAGAGUUUUAUAUUAAUUUAAAUUAUAAUUAUUUAUAAAAUUUAUUUAUUAGUAAUUUUUUUUUAAUAUUUUAUUGGGGUGAUAAAAAAAUAAAUAAAACUUUUUUUAAUAUUAAACAAAAAUAAAUGAAUUAAUGAUCCAAUUUUACUGAUUAAAAGAAAAAAUUACCUUAGGGAUAACAGCGUAAUUUUUUCUUUUAGGCCUUAUAAGAUAAAAAGUUUGCGACCUCGAUGUUGGAUUAAGAUAAAAUUUAA
rnacentral:rRNA from 1 species